rnacentral:lncRNA from 1 species
CCCAUAGAGGUAAUAGAAGCUGAUGGCUUUCAGUACAUCCAGUAAUCCAACUCCUAGAGCCAUGCUUGAAGUUAAGUAAAACCCUUGUAGUGGUCAGCAAGUUUUGGCGAAGAUUUUGAAAAACAGGGAUACAAAGGGAACUGUGGCAGCUGAAUUCUCUUUCAUGUAUGUCCAGUCCAGGUGAAGCCCAGCAUAAUGUACUGUAAUAUGUCUCUUCAGUUCUCUGAUACAAUGACCUGUACAUCCUCUAAAUCCCCCACAGAAUGCACAGACAUAGACUGAUUGAGUCACAUAGAACUUGAAAGCAGCAAAGCUUCUGUCUCCCAUAUGUGUAACAGAAGCAUUUAUGCUUAUGUCCACUUUUUGUCUGUAUUGAGUAAGAAGAUGUGAUUUGGUCUGCAGCUUGCCAAAGCCAUUAGCUGCUUGUGUAAUUCUGGGAGGUUGUCAAAGCAGUUUUGGUCUUUACUGAGGAUUCUUUAAGACAACUGCUCUGUUUGAAGUUCUUCGCUGGUUUGAAGUGCUACAACAGACUGGUGGAUUUGCGGACAGAUUUCGGGCAAGAUAUAAAUUGGCUUGUCUGCAGGAAUGCAGUAGUACUUUUGGCUGUGCCUGGAAAACAUAAACAAGCAUUUCUUCUACUAAGGAUUGUAUUUAGCAGCAGACAUUUGAUUUGCUGCAGAAUGACUGAACAGGUAAAUUAUUGAUAUAUUGAUAUAUAUAUUGAUAUAUUUAACAAUCAGAUUUUGUUAUAUGCUGAAC